rnacentral:rRNA from 1 species
GAGUUUGAUCUUGGCUCAGAUUGAACGCUGGCGGCAGGCCUAACACAUGCAAGUCGAGCGGAUGACGGGAGCUUGCUCCUUGAUUCAGCGGCGGACGGGUGAGUAAUGCCUAGGAAUCUGCCUGGUAGUGGGGGACAACGUUUCGAAAGGAACGCUAAUACCGCAUACGUCCUACGGGAGAAAGCAGGGGACCUUCGGGCCUUGCGCUAUCAGAUGAGCCUAGGUCGGAUUAGCUAGUUGGUGGGGUAAUGGCUCACCAAGGCGACGAUCCGUAACUGGUCUGAGAGGAUGAGUCAGUCACACUGGAACUGAGACACGGUCCAGACUCCUACGGGAGGCAGCAGUGGGGAAUAUUGGACAAUGGGCGAAAGCCUGAUCCGAGCCAUGCCGCGU